CCCGAAGAUCACGUCAGUCAAAUGCAUGACAUCUAUAUCAGCUUUGGAGACUGGGUCUGUUGAAUAACUCAUUUCUGUUUGACGAAUGACGGUCCUGUGGGAAGUUUAAUAAUCGCCAUAGAUUUUCUGACUGUAAUUUGGUUUUCAACCGACUGGCUCGUUUUGAAUGGUAAACGAUCCUGGACGACAUUUGUGGCCUUUUGCUUAGACUUUAGUAAGUGCUUUUAGUCUAUUUAGUGAAAUAAUAGCGCAAGCAGGUAUUCAUGUAUUUUUAUAUUUAUAUGCGACGGCAUGACAAAAUAUUCUUCUGCCGGGAUCAUUACGCGAAAGAAUUUAAUUAAAUAUCAUGGCCUGAUUCACGACUGCAUGUACAACUGAUCAGAGCCUGAUCAUGAUUCAUGAAACUACGGGCUUUCGGCCCGUAAGGCCGUAAACAAAAAAAACGACAAAUCACGGGACGGGAAGUUAUAUCGAAUUAUGUUUCUAUGAUCAAGUGACUACUGGUCACAAAAACAACUUUGAUUAUUUAUCUCUGUCUUAAUGUCUUUAUUCUUUAAUUUAAGAAUUCAGACAAACCGGCAAACGAAUUUAACCUACGCAGGCAAAGCAUAUUGCAGUGGCAUGCUACAGCAGUAUACUGUAUAGUGAAGAACUGAUGUAUAUUUACUCACAUGGAAAUAUUAAGUUACUACAGUAUACUGGGUGUCUGAAAAAGUGACCCUUUAUAGAAAUCACUGAAAUCACCCUAGCCUUUUGUUGUAUUAUUGUAAACACCCAAACUUCAUUUCAUUAAAUGUUUUGUCCGAGAUUGUAUAGCCGCUAGCUAUUAUAUUCUUGGUGACGACAAAAAUGAUCUCUGUUCGGUUUGAAUUUGUCAUUAGCUUUGCAUAAUCGAUUAACCGAUGCACUUGACUUGAGAGUUAGCAGUCACGAAUUGUUACAGCUAGGCCCUAUAUAGACUUGCUCCAAGUCUCUCUUUCAUUGUCGUAUACUAUCGAUCCACUAUAGUUUACAUUACAUGACGUAGCGCAGAGAGGCGGAGCCAGAAAGAGAGACUUGUCAGUUAUCAACUUCGGAAAAUCUCGGUUCAAAACUGAACCGAAAAUGCAAGACUUGCUUUAAUUGUUUUCGUUCAAUUUCUUUCUCUAUUAUUUACUAAUAUGGAACUCAUGUUAUUUACACUGUGCUAAAUCAAUACAUAUAAACACACUCAUGUAAUGUACACUAUAGUGGAUCGAUAAUAUAUGACAAUGAAAGAGAGACUUGGAGCAAGUCUAGGCCCUAUAGGGCUAGGGGAGACCUUAACUCGAAAUCAGUUUUUCGACCCCGGCGAAUCGAAAUUUUCUUUUGUCUUACAAGCACUCAGAUGGAACUAAACAGCAAUCUUUUGAAUUUGAACAAUAGAAAUUUCGGAAUUUUUUAAGGCGGUUUUCCACUAGGCGAAAUUUUUCGAUCGAACCAAAAUUUCUAUUGUUCAAAUUCAAAAGAUUUCUGUUUAGUUCCAUCUGAGUGCUUGUAAGACAAAAAAAAAUUUCGAUUCGGUCGAAAAAUUUCGGCUAGUGGAAAACCGCCUUAAGCCCCGUUUACACUAUACCGGAUUGCUAUCGGAGUGGGUCAAAUUUUGUAGGUAUCGAAAGGCUGUGAAGAUUUUUAAUCUCAGAGACCCAAAUAAACAUGCCAAUUCUGUCAAACUAAUAAGCAUUUGCUACUAACCAUUGGCAUUGCUCCGUAACGGCAAAAGAAGAUGUCGUGACCAGCGAAUCCGGUAUAGUGUAAACAGGGCCUAAAGUCUGGUUUCCAUUAAAUCGUAAUCAUCGCAAUAGUCGCGGAACGCAGACAUCGCUAUCGCAAAAAUCGCAGUUCUAUCUUUGCGACUUUGUCGUAAGAGUCUUAGUUAUCGGUGUGACUCAAGUUUCCAAUGAAUCGCAGUUUUUAUUAAAAUUUUCGAUGCGAUGCGGUUCUUGCGAUAAUUACGAUUUAAUGGAAACCAGGCUUAAAGCCUGAUUCACAUUGAUCGUAAACAUCGGCGAUGCUCAUUGUCGGUGGUCAUUGAUGCAUAAAAUGUUUUGUGCAUUUUCUUCUUCGUUGCUCACAGACAAUGGUCGUAGAACAUCGCCGAUCAAUGUGAACCAGGCUUAAGAUUGACGUCAGGUACGGUAGACGGCGUUACCCUCAAACCUCAAGUGUAUUUUGAGGACAACUGUUAGAAGUUAGAGCAACUUGUCACUAAAAUUGAAACAUGAAUUGGUUACUUUAGCUGUCGAAAAUUGUCAAAUACGAUUUGAAAUUUGCUAUUUGCUGUCUGUCGUAAACGAGGCUCUGGUGUUGAGAAAGUAUUACAGUAAGAACGGCUAACCAAGAUUGCGUGACUGCAGACAACUCUCAUGCACUGACUUCAUGAGUUUCAUAAUUGUUUGAUCUGGGCUUUAAUAGCACGACUGUACUGCAUAGUGCCAUCUAUCAGAAGGUUCCAUUGUCUUUUCAUUGUUUCGAAAAUCCCAGUUCCCAUCAAAUUCCAUGCGUGACUAUAGUCACGUGACGUUAUAUGUAAAGGACGUUAUGCAGCGUCAUGUAUUGUGACCAUUGACCUAUGAUUGUGAUGAACUUGCACACGACGAAAUAAACAUAAGCACAAAGAAAACAAUUUUUUUCCUUUCCUUGUGCUUGUGCUUAUAUCAUGUAAGCUUGAUCUCACCCUUGCGAUAAAUACAUUUGGUACUUGUUUUAUACGUGUGAACGUUCUUGUCCUUUAUAUGCUUAUUUCAUCGUGUGAACCAUUGGCAUUGUGGGCUUAUCCCUUCGAUAAUUACGUCACGAAUGGGCGCCUCGCUCGCGCGAAUGAAAACGAAAGACUAUGGCUAUUCGUCAAGGGCGUCAAUCUAUCCCAAAAAGUGGGGAGGGGGGGGAGAACUUCAAAUUAGGAAGGUCCGGAGGUAUGCUACCCCAAAUUUGUUUUUAAUUUUCAUUUUUGGUACACUGAAAUGGCAUUUCCAGCGUUUUGGAGGCACUUGUAAAGUUAUAAUACUAUUCGAAGUGCAAUCAUGCGUAACAUUGGCUAUAAAACAAGGGGAUCUCAAUAGUUCAGGGUCAGUUUGUUAAACGCUCUACCCAUGCAGUAAGGUCAGUCAUGGCUCUAUGGUGAAGCUCACGUCUAAAGAUGAUCCAAAAUGAUCAAGUUGGAAAUCCAGUCGUCUAGGACACGACGAAGUCGCCGAACACAAAUGUCAAGCAGAAGCCGUGCGCCGCGAAACAAAGCGAAGCCGACGAAGUAUUUGGUAAUGUAUCAAGGGCGGCGGAACAGGGAGGUUAGGGGGGCUAAAGCCCCCCCAGAAGUAAAAGUGGGGGAGCUAAUUUUGUUUUUUCUGGAAAAAUUUAGAUACUUAAGGAAAAAUUGAGGGUAUUUUUUGAAAAUUUAGGUAUAAGGGGGAAAAUUUGCAAUAUUUUGUUUAAAAAUUGUGUAUGUCCGGAAACAUUUUUUGUGUAUGUCCGGAAAAAUUUUUGUACCCCUAAAAUGGUACACUGACCGAAAUUUUUUUGGCGACGGGGGGGGGAUGUAACGGGGAAAAAAUUUAGCCCCCCCCAAAAAUGAAAUCUGUUCCGCCGCCCCUGUAAUGUAUUUGUUCAAUGCCCAAUUCAGUAAAGCCUGUUUUCCAGUAGGCGGAAUUUUGCGCGCGGAACGGAACUUUUCUUUGUCUUUUCUAAUUAGUUCCACCCGAGAAAUCACAAGACAAAGAAAAAUUCCACUCCGCGCGCAAAAUUCCGCCUAGUGGAAAACAGGCUUAAUUCGCAAUCUUGUUGUUCGUCGGCGGUUGGUGCCGAACAGUUUGGUACUUUUUGUACUGGCUUCGUAACGUCCGUAUACGUAUUCCGUUGGGAACGAAUAUGUUGAAUAUAACUAAGACUGAAAUGAGUUGUCCUGCUCAUGGGAAAGUAUUAGCUGAGCUACGAUAUAAGCAAGUCUUUGUAACGCGACGUUUCGCUUCAUUCGUUUCUGAUAAUAACCUGGCUCGGAGGUUACAUGCGUAAUUUUGUCGGUAUUAAAUUGUGACUUUCUGUGGCGAUUUCAGCACACAUGGUUGUUACAUCAGCCUGGUUGAGGCCAAACUCGAAGAUAUCAUACAAAUAUAUUAGUUUGGACUCUAUAUGGAGUUGUAACUGAUCGAGUUCGACGGAGAACGAAGCGCGAUGUUUUGGUUGAGGCCAAUAUUUAAAUUCAGUUUAUACCCUUUACAUUUUAGCUUACGCCUCUUUGAAUAUGGAAGGCCAUUCAUCCUUCAAUUUGCAUAGACCAACGGUUUUCAACUGGUUUUCUCAUGUGUCCCCGAUUUCACAUGAUUGAAUUACCACGUCCCCUGAACAGAAAUUGCCCACUGAAGUCUAUCAAAAACACGAAUUUCGAAAUAGUUAGUAAAAUAGUAAAUGAUUUAAAUUUUAAAUAAUAGAUAGAAAGUCAAGCAAACAUGUUUAUAGUACAAACUAUUGUAUUCAACUAUUGUAUUCAACUAUUGUUUUCUCAGUCCUAGACCAGUUUGUCCCCUAGGAAUUUGCCAAAUGUCCCCUCUCGGGGACAUGUCCCCCAAGUUGAAAACCCAUGGCAUAGACUUACUCAUAACAUGACAUAGCAUAGAAUAACAUAAAAUUUAUUAUUCCAAUAGCCUCGCUAUACACAUUUGUGUAUAAGCUCACGUGGACACGCGUGGUCGUCAGUUCGCACCGUACGUCUUCUUGCCACAAAUAAUAUUUCACUAAUCAAUUCCUAUCUACCAAUAUGUAAUUACCAAACAACUUACCCUCAUGGGGACGCAGUUAGUGUUUACAAUUUAAAUGACUCGGUACGGUGGAGGCCGGCCAGGGAUUUAACAAAUCAAUUUCGCCCUCGGUAGCGGCCGAGCGAGUACGUCUUUAAAUCAAAUUCCUCGGCGGUGCCUGAGCUGUUAUGUUUUGUUUCUUUCAACUUAAACUUAUUUGGUAGUGGCCAAGUAUGUUUCACGGCUCACAUAACUCGGUAGAGGCCGAGAAGUCAUGGGUUAUGAAUCAGCGGACUCAGUGUGAGAAGUUGUCUUGCAUAGUUAGACGAUCCCGUAUGUUGUUAUACCGUGAUUUGAUUUCACAUCCUUCCUAUGUUUCAUUACGAUCAGUUUUUCACCUUAUACCUUCGCCCAACCAUUGUUGGAACUGGGUGCGGGCGUCUAAUGCCUUUUAUGCCUCUAGGGGCUGCCUGGGACCGACAAUGGGGUAGGCGAUCCCUACGGAUGUCGUGCCGUAUCCUUUCCAGUCGUACCUACCGUAUGUCGACCUGCGGUACAGCCACCCGACACUGAAUGCUCAAUGACAAUGGUUUAUUUAUUUAUUUAUUGUGCUUCUCUUCCAAACAUCAUACAAUAAUUGCAUUAAAGAAGCUGGGACACCACAACAGCUUAACACCAAUUACAGUGGGCCCUUUACAAAAUAUCAAUAUAAAUAUAGAAAGCAGAAAUAAUUAACAAUUUUUCGCCGAAGGCUAGGUGAAUAUCGUCGAGUAGUGACAGAGACAAAGUCGAAGUUUUCAUUUAACAAUAACCAUCGAGCCUGAGGCGAAUAAUAGUUUUAGUAUAAUUUCAUAGAUGAUUAUCUAUGAAAAGAAAUUUUAAAAAAAUACACAUUUCUUCGUUUACGUGGAGCUAGGGUUCGCCUACCCGUAUUGUCGAUCCAGAGCAUAUGAUCUUUUGAUAACGUCUAACGUAACGAAUUGGCCAAAAUUGCUGUUUCUAAGCCAAAAGCGGACAGGUUUUAAGGUGCAUGCGUCAGUGUGUGUCAGUUUACGUUCAAACAUGAUGCUCUAUCGAUCGUUAAGUCGCUGGGUCAAUGGACAUAGGCCAAUGGACAUAGGCCAAUGGACAUAUCAUUUUCUGGGUCAAUGGACUGGCCUAUCAUUUUUAGCAGUUCUCACAUUUUGACUAUAAUUGCAACCGUAUCUGUCUCUCUAGUUGUGUCGCAUUGUGCUCACUUUUCACAGUUCACUGUGAAAAUUUAAGGAAUUUUAUUUACGAAACAAGUAAUUUAUUUCACGAAACGACACACAUAUCGUGCCGUGUAAUGGUAUUCCAUCAUUUUAUUCGUAUAUAUAAGCUUAGCUUGUUCGUUUAGUUUAUUAUUAUGCAACAGAAUCGCAGAUCACGAUUAUGAUUCCACCCUGUUGCUAUCCGAUAUCCCUCAAAUAGAUCCUCCGGUUUGAACUUGUUUCUUUGUUUUUGUUAUCCAGAAUGGAAAGAUGGAGUCGGCAUACUCGACAUUCGAUAUCCGCACUCUAGUGUAUAUCUAUAUGGCAUUGUCUUUGUCAAAAUGUCAUAAUGUUUUGCAUUUUCUUUCACUUAUUUGCCCACUGAUGAUUGCUUAGUUUCGGGGAAAAGCAGUUAUGGGAUAUGGGGUAAGUUUUGGGUGAGUUUUGGGAAUAAGUUUCGGGUAAUGUUAGGAUGAAGGGUAGGAUAUAUAGGCUAACGUUACCCAGUUGGGAAAGUAGGAGAUCUUACCCGGCUGGCGGGCUCGUAUUUCCCAAAACUAUCUACCUGUAAGCCAAUGGGAGCACGAGGGCAGUUAGAAUAGAUUACUAUUCGAAGUGCAAUCAUGCGUAACAUUGGCUAUAAAACAAGGGGAUCUCAAUAGUUCAGGGUCAGUUUGUUAAACGCAGCGCCCAUGUGUGUUAGUCGGAAAGACAUAGCUGUGUAUACAUGUGUGUAUAUAUAGGUAGGAAGCAGCAAUAUUGUGUCACAGAUUCUGUUUUAGCGCUUUUCCCCACCCGUCCCCUCCCCAAGGAACUUGACUCCCUCGCUCCUCGGCUUACGGGCUCGCAUUUCCCAAAACUAUCUACCUGUAAGCCAAUGGGAGCAUGAGGGCAGUUAGAAUAGAUUACAAUGUGCAUGAUCUUAAAUCCAUUUUUAACCAUGUGAGAAAUCCGCUAAAAACAAGGUUGUGCAAGUGGGAUAAAGCACAUCAAAGUUGUUAAUUAUAUAUAUUAGUUAGUUAUUCAUUUGGUUUGAUUGCAAUGCUAUGUCUACAACUUUUAAUUCGGGUCAGGCGAGAAACUACAAAAAUGGAAUGUUUAGGCUUAAUAUUUUACUAUAUUUGAACUUUUGAAAAUGGUAAAAUAAAAUCAUCUAGUCUUAAAUCUUAAUUUAGUCGUUAAAUUAGUAAAUUACGAUUAUGUCCAUUAGCUCAAUAAUUGAUGUAUAAUGGUUUAAAAUAUAUUAUUACCUCCUUUACUGUAAAUAUACUAAAAAAACUCAUUAAUAAUUCACGAGGAAAAUAUGAGAUUUGUCCUGAUUUACAUAAACUUUAAUUUUGAUUUUCUCGGCUUAGACUAUAUAUGUUUAUUUUUAAAAUUACUUCGCCAAUGUCAAUGAAUUCAUAAGAUGGGUCGCUUUUUAUGCACGAUAUUAAAACAUUCGCAUCCGAUCUUUAUCUGAUAUACAAACUCUCAUCUUCGGUUCGGCUCGAGUUUGUACAUCAGUGAUAAAGAUCGGCUGCUCAUGUUUUAUCUAGUCUAGUACAUAUAUAGUAUCUUCCACUUCGAAUAUAUAUAAAUAAAUAUAAUUAUAAAGUUUAUAUGCAUGUUAAUGUUUUAUGUUAUAUUAUAUACUUUUAUUCUUGUUCAAUAUAAUAAUUCGAACUGACUAAAUAUUUAAAGAAUGAAAUAAUGUAAGGGGUCUUAAUUAAAAAGCCUCCAAAAUAGCAAAACAAAAUGUAAAUAAAUUCUAAAUACUUUUUACGGGCGUAAUAAUAAGAAAACAAAAACAAGCAAAACGAAUUAUUGUCUCAUUCAGUAUAAAAUUACAACACAUGUACAAAUUUGAAUUCAAUUUCGGAAUAUUUUUUAGUACUCACAUAACAUAUGCGAUGUCAGUAUUUGCUCCCAGCGGCUACAGAAAGAUCAUACGUUGUACUUCAUCUUAUCAAUGCCCAAACAAUGAAUAUUUGACACACAUAUAUCCCACAUUGCACUGCGUAUACCUAAUGUUUAGAUGGAUUGGAAAUAACGCGACGUAGGCACUUCUAGAGUCAAUUGCAAAUAGCCAAAUAAGAGGGAUUUGUGACGUAAUUAUUCAAGGGGUGUAUUCUCCAGUAUCUGUUGUUGAAUUCCAAUGGGCUUAUACAAGGGGGGGGGGGGCUUAUAUACGGGAGGGGGCUAAUACAUUGACGAUCUUUUGUGUUAGUAAUAAACAAGUCAGACAUAUAAAACAAGUCGGUCAUAAACAGGAAAAUAAACAUGUAUUAAUAACGCGCUUUGAUUCACAUAGUCGGCUAUAAAGACAAUGACAAUGUUUUUAAUUAAGUAUCGUUCUCUGCUAUAUUAAAAGACAACUGUCAAUGUUGAAUAACGUAGUGGGCUACUGGGCUUAUAUUCAGGGGACUUAUAUUUGGGGGGGGGCUUAUAUUCGGGUGGGCUUAUAUUCAGGGGGCUUGAUACUUGGAAUGAGGUGAGUUGCUAUGUGGUGGGUUUAUAUCUGGGGCUGAUACUUUUGGGGGGGGGGGCUUAUAGUCGGAGGUUUACGGUACAACAGCGAUAUGAUUAGAAGUAUCCACAUGAUUGAGUAACUAAGGCCUGUUUUAUACGUCGACUUUUGGUCGCGUCGAAUGCAAUUAAGACAAUACAUAGUGAGAUGAUAAACCUCAUUAAGCUUCAUUACCUAUAUUGUUUGAAUUCCAUUGACGCGCGUAAAAAACAGGUUAAUUAAUUCUACGGCAUAGUGAGAAAGUGAGAAAAAGAGCUUGAUGCUUUGCCGGAUGUAACAAUUUUACUACAUGCAUGUAUCAGUCUUGAAUUUCACUAGAUAUAGGUUAGUUUUAAAAAAAGUGCAGUUUAAGUGCUUCCCUAAUAUCGAGCUUUAUUAGUGAAAUUAGUUUCGCAAACGUAAAAAAGGGUAACGUCUAUAACACACGGUGGCAAGACAUGAUAAAUACUCAACAUAUAUAGGAAAUAAAAUUUACGCAGUUUUCUCAAUUUUAAUAAGAUAUAAUGAAUCCAAAAAGUGUAUUAAUUUAUAUGACCUUAUUAAUACCAUAGUUUCUCAAAGCAUAUAGAACAGAGGGAGGGUGACAUGAAGUGACAGCCAUUUCACGUUUCACAUGUCAGUUAUUAUUAAGCUGAGCCAUUUCACGAAAAUUAAAAAAACAUGCAUGCAUGGUUUUCAGUUUUGGUUAUUCCUUAUGCUGUUUUUUAACACUCGUAAGAUAUAAAGAUUCUAAUAUCAUAAAUUAAUCAAGUGCCUAUAAAUUAGACCACAUUGCUCAAUACAAUCUUUAAGGCGGAAGUUACACGAAACAAUUUUCGCUGAAAAUUGACAAUUAAGGAUGAUAAUUUGAGGUUUGUGUUAUCUUCCACAUAUGCUUGACCUUGACAGACGUCGCAGAAGCAAAAAAGUUUCCCAUGCUACACUGAGAAACAGAAACAUAUGUUGUUUUUAAAGUGUGAAUUGUUGAGGAAACAAUGUUCAAGUAGUGACUUCAGUCCUUACCCACCCUUCAGGAAACAACAAUCCUUCCGGCCUUCCGCAAAAAUGUGUGCAAUACUGGAUUUGGCGAAUUUGUAAUACGAUAUCACUGAAAGAAGAGUUAUCUUGAUGUGUUUUGGUAAUAAAAAUUUAAAGUUCAUUGCCCACAUCCUUUCAAAUAUUAAUUGCUUAUACAGUUAAAAAAAAAAUUUCGCGGUAAAGCAAGUCCAAGACCAAGUGCAAAUCAACUUCUAUCGUUUCAGUGGAGUCAUAUAAAUAAUCAGUUGUUGAGGAUCUGCAUAUAAUCAAGAGAAGACAUAUCAUAUUUAAUUCAAGGUAUUAUAGAGAAAGAAUCGUAGUUUAGGGUGUUGCUAUAUAUAGUCAGUUGACCUUAAUUAAAAUGAUAUGAGCUCAUAUGCACAACUCCUGGAGGACAACUUGAAACGAACCACUACUCACGAUAUGUAUAGGGACUGUAAUGAAUUGAAUUCCGCUCUCUAUCAUAUUUUUUCUGCUACGAGUCAAGUAAGUGCAAGGGAAAUGAAACGCUCGAUCAGAGAAGUGGAACGAAAAGCUGGAAUCCAAUUCAUAUAUUGAAAGAUUAUAUUUUUAAAGCACAGCUGCAAACGAAAGUGAGUUAUUUAUACAUCGUGUCAGACAAGCAGACGUAAGUACUAUAGGAAAGACAAUUAUUAAUAAACUAUACGUUGCGCUUUUAAGUAAUACUAACUCAGUCAUAACUCAUAACAUAUAUAUAUCCUCCAUGCAACGGCAAUAUGUUUAACGGCAACAUUAGCAUAUAGUGAUAUUGGCAUUAUUUUAUUUAACAUUUUGUGCUUUUUGGUGCAAUAAAAUAUGUCGUUUUUGUGCGAUUGUUCAUGCAUGAUCAUGCAUACGACAUUUAGCUUUGUUUGAACUGAAACCGUUUGUUAUUGGGCUACAUGUACAUAUACUGAUAUAGGCUUUUUAAGGGUUUAAAAGCCAACUCGGGCCCAGAUUAGGAAAGCGCCUUAUAAAAACCCUGUUUUUUGCGCCAUUGGACAAUGUGAUAAAACCGAUAAAGAAUCAUGCAGUCCUAUAAGCUUAUAUUGCUCUAUACGCAUGCAUGCAUGCCUAAUGAGUACAAUACUAGAAUGGACGAGAAAUUAAGAAAUACACCAAAUGCAGUUAAUCUUGACAUCAAAGGUAAAAAAAAGCCGCCCAUACUUUGAUGAACUAAUCUCCGUAAAAGUCAGAAAUGUCCAAAGUCCGAAAAAUCGAUGUAAGUAUGUAUGAUAAUCCUUAAAAGAAUGAAAAAUACCUUGAAUCUAAAAAAUAUACUGCAUAUUUAAUGACCAUCUCGAAAAGGUCAAUACGUACAUUGGGUACAAGAGGUCUUUACCAAUUUGUCAAAACUAAAAUAAUUAUUGUAAAUGGCAUAUGCGUGUCAUGAAGUGCGGAAUGAUGAUGCAGUUAUUAAACAAGAAUUUGAGAAUUGAAAAAUAGGAAUAUACUAUAAGAUCUGAUCAUCUAAAUGUGUAUAAGAUGUAUUGUUAUUGAAUAUUGUUAUAAAAUGCAGGGAUUUAUAUAGAUAGGGCAGGGAUAGAGCAUCUUUCAUUCAUGUUCUUACAAUUACGGAGAACUGGAAGAUCUUCAAUCACAAAACUUGAGAAACGACCUCCUGAUCCAGUUCGUCUGUGGACCUCGCUAGGGAACGUUGCUAAGAUUCCACCGAUUAACAAUACAUCUAUGUCUGCAGUUGCUAACAGAUCUUUGUAUGCUGGUCUGUUAACCGGUGGAAUCUGUUGACAUAUGUUGUCAACCAGUGGAAUCUGCAGAUGGAUUCCAUCUUACCCGGUGGAAUCUGUUAAUCGGUAGAAUCACUGCAAAUGAGCUGACUCAAUGGUUUCAAAUGGUUUCAAGCGUACGCUGACACGUUCCUGCUAUCUGGACCUGAUAAACCGCCAGUGCAAGGGCGACUGAUCCAAUUCUAAUUCACUAUAUACUAUCGGCUGGCCGAAACUCCAAAGAUGCUUCUGUUCUGUGGGGUGGUCUGAUAUAUGAUAGCCCUGUUGAGGGUAUAGCCGUAACCGCGGCAUGGGUAGGUAUUAUUUGAAAGUGCAGCUGCAGUGAUAACCAAUCAGUUUUUUUUUUGUUUGUUUGUUUUUUAUUUAAUGAUUUGCCCAUGUGAUAUACCAUUAUGUUACAUAAAAAGUAAAUAAAAUAAAGUAGAAACAUUUGGGCUAGGAGUCUAUAGAAACCUUGAACAGGAUUUUGAUUUAGACCCCUAGUUUAAAGUCUUGGUGCUAAUAUAUAUAGUUAAAUUGUCAUCGGUUCUAAGUAUUUACAAAAAGUGAGGUUAUGUUACAUUCAAUAUUUAUAGGAGAGUAUUUACUUUUAUUAAUUUAAAUGAGAAGCUUGAGUUAAAUAUCUAUUUACAUGAAGAGAAAUUACAGUUAAAGUGAUUUAUAAGAUUAAUUACAUAGAAAGUGUAUUUUGGAUUUUUUCUUAAAAAUGGGACGUGAUGUUAUUAUUUUUAAAUUACUGUCAAGAUUAUUCCAAACGUCCACCCCUUUCGAUUCACUGAAAGCGAGUGCUUGACGUAGUUAGUUCUCUGAUAAGACUUAUGAAGUUUAGUUGAGUUUCGAGUGUUGUAUUGGUGAAUUUGGUUAUUUGAAAUAAAAAAGUUUGUGAAAGUUAUUGGCAAGUUCUUUAAAUGAUGAUAUCGGAACAUGAAAAGACUUGUAAGGUAGUUAUUUAACUUACUGAGAUUCAAGAUCUGUAGGUCAAUAAAUAUUUUUUCAGUGUGAGAAAAAUUGGACUGAAAUGUCAUAAGACGAAUUAUUUUCUUUUGAAUAUUUGUUAACUUUUGAAUUCUUGUUUUGUAUGUGUUACUCCAUAUUAGAUUGCCAUAGAUUAGAUAUGGAUAGACUAAAGCAUAGUAUAUUAGUUUUAAAGUAUUCAAAUUUGUAAAAUGACGAAUUUUUGCAAUAAUUCCUGCAGAUUUUAUAAUUUUCUUUGCAACGGAAUCGAUAUGAUCGUUCCAUGAUAAACAUUCUUCAAUAACUACUCCUAAAAAGGUUGUACUUUUGACUUGUUUGAUAUCGUCGUUAUUGAUGAACAACUUUACUCAACGUGUUUCUUUUUCUUUUUUGAGGAUCGAAAUAAAAUAAAUUUGGUUUUUGAUGUGUUGAUAGAUAGUUUUGUGCAGCAAUAUAUGAGAUUUUGCAGUUAUUGACGCACAAUGUUGUGUGGCAAUAAAUUUUUCAUUAAUAUAUUAAAGACUGUUAUUUGUGAAACGGAGGUUUGGUCAUGGGAAUACUACAGUAAACUGACUAAGUUAUUUUGCCUUUUUUGGCUUAUAUCUUAAUUAAACAGAAGCGACCUUCACUGGGGGGGGGGGGACAAAAUAGGGGCUUGCUUGUUCACUGUAGGGGACAGGGAUUGGGGGUGGAACUUGUUAAAAGAGGCCAGGCACUGUUUCUGAAUUUGGAUGUUAUGAAGUAUAUUAAUUUUAUAAGUGAAGCGUAAAUUAACCGGCGUACAGAUGAUAGCUGUUUGUAACUUUGUGUCGGUAGUGAUAAAUUUUCCCUAAAGUAAGCCAGUGACGUGAGCGACGAACUGAUAUUGCUAGUCAACAUAUGAAGCCAUAUAUAGAUAUACAUAUAUAUAUACAUAAAUCGAAAUCCCACUAGAUAGUCUAUAUGCGCCAAUUAAGCCGAGUAAGGAGAAACAAAAGGUAUAACUUCACUAAAUCUAUUAAAUUAAGAAAACUAGUAGAAACGUCUUUCUGUAUGCAAGUCCUAUACAAUCCUAAUCUAGUAUCCUUAUCGGCCAUUCGUGUGUAUCAAUUUCAAAGACAAUGAGCAAUAUUAAGGCGUCAUCUAAUAUUGACAUGUGGUUUUGGGGUUAAAUAGUGUGAUAUGGGCUUUUUGGCAAGAAAACAACUGAGAGAGAUAAAAGCUCUCUUAAUAAUUAUUGUGCCCUCACACAAUUCACCAAUAACGUGUCCUCAAUAGGUCACGUGUCUGCCCACUGUCCAUGCAAUAUUGCUGACAGGUGCCCAAUGGAUAGCAGCUUAACGCCGUUUUAUAUAUACUUUGGCACAUUAAAACGGAUCACGAACUAAGGAAAAGGAUUUAUCUGAAUAUAUUGUAAAAAUAAAGCGGGGAAAAUCUUGUCUUCAAAAUGCAGUUUUAACUGAACAACAGGUCUAAAAGGUCAGUGCAUCAUUUAUUCUUUUCCGCUAAUAAAAAUAUUUAUUAUUAGAUCGAUCAAUUUACCUUAAAAAAGACUGAAUGAAAUUUAAUUUUAAUUGAGGCACACCAAUGUAUAAUAUCCUGUCAGUGUCUGAGAAUAUAGAAAGUACUUUUGUUUCGAGCGAAAGCACUUCGCCUGUGAAGGUUAUAUAGUAGCUAGUUACUGCUACGUACUAACCUGGCUCCAUGAACAUCCAGACGAAGAACCGAGCGAAUAUAUACAUUUAAUAAGUAGAUGUAUGGUACAGAGGUCAGCAUUGAUCAUGAAAGAGAGAUUAGGUUAAAACUUAAAAGUGACAUUGGAAAUCAGUUUCCUUUCACUCACAACGGGUGGCAAACCGAGCCUUUCCUCAUUUGUGGGGUUACGUUUCCUAUUUUCCACAUAUGAUAAUUCCCAUUACUUGAGGUAAAGUAUUAAAACAUAUAGAUCGUAUAAAAUUCUAAAGUUACUUAAUUCUGCUUGGAAUGAAGCCAUAUGUGGUCAUAUGUAUUUAUUUCACACGAGAAAGCCAGGCCGCAGAGUCAAUUAAGUUAAUUUAGCCUCCUCCGCAGGAUAAUCUAGGGGAGAAGCGGAGAGCCACUAAGAUUUAAGUUGUUAUAUCACAACUUCUUGAUAUUGGCUCAGGGCAGGCUGCUCUUGAUGUGAAAACUAAAAAGGCCUUAAUUGGUGGGUUUCAAUAAUUCACUGUAGGUUUUGCACACUACAAAUGCAGUGAAGAAAGGGGUAAAACAUUUUAAAUCCUACGUAAUUUAAUCCGCCAAAAACAUCCCUGAAGAACAACUUCUGGCUAAGCCUGCGUUCAGUCCUAGCUAGACGCCUGGCGGGAAUUUGGCACAGGCACCGGAAUUGAACUGGGGGAGGUUCUCCUAACAUGGCGUUUUACAUCACAAUAAUGUCAAUAAUAUAGUUACAUAUAUAGCUAGAGUAUUCAGUCAAAAAACGUUGUGAAAUCACAAUAAGUUGGACGUAAUUGUUGUUGAGUUAUGACGAAGGAUGUAUUAACUACAAUACUAGUUAAAUAUAUAUAAAAAAUAAUUUUCAUUCUACAGAAAGUCAAUGUUUUGUUAAUUGAGUAAAACUUUAGGUCGACCAGUUAUUGUUGAUAACCGUAUUGGAAUUUUAUCACAAACGUACUAUCGGUCUAUUAUUCAUUCCAACCGCAUUCUGGGCUUUGCACCUGCGAUCCCAUAAAAAUCAUUUUUCACGUGAAGGUUCCGUGACAAGAUAUUUACCAAGCAUAAUCUUAAAUCAAAUUUUGUCAUUCUAAAAUGAUGUUCUUUUUGUGUUUUUGCAUAGGGUCACUGUCAAUAUUUGCCGACCGGAAAUAUCGCAUGACGCAUAGAAACAGGCAGUGACGCACCGCUGCUGUUUUCAGCUAUUAUAUUACACUAUUUGAGAAAAUUCGGUAAAUGAUCUUCUGGUCCGAAGCUGUGAAACUAUAGUGAACUAAUAGGUUUUGUUCGUACGUGGAGGACUUAUCAAUGAGGUUGUGCAAAAGAGAAACGGGUCUGUAUUGGUUUGUUCACAGUGUUGUGUGGAUUGGCAUUACUUUACCAACAGUAUUCUUUCUGUUGCGGAUAAAUCAUCCCAGACACGAUGAAACCAAGACGAAAUCCAUUAA